AUUCAGUACAAACGGAAAUUUCGGGGCGAAAAGAUUACUGUGAAUUGGAUACAGACUCAUACGAUGAUUCGCAAGCUGCCCCAAAUUUCGAUGUAGUUGAGGAGACUUGAUCGAGUUCUCAAACCUAAGAAUCAAGAAAAAAUCCAAAUGCAGGUAUCAUACGACGAUGCCAAUUUUGGUUUUACUUAGUGCGGUGAUUGUUUAUAGAUGCUAAAUUUUGUGGGUGGGCUUGUCUUUUCUUGUAACUGAUAGUUCCGCAAAGGAAUUGAACGAGAAUACUGAGGAAGACCCUGAUGUUAUCGAGAUGAUUCUGCCAUGGUUCGAUGAGAAAGUAUCAGAAAAGUUAUGAAACUGUUCAAAAAUGCAUUUUCUGUUUUAUUUAUUCUUUAUAAGACUUGAACUUUAUUUCAUGCGCACGCAUAAUUAUAGAAUAACGCAGUAAAGUUGUCAUUGUGUGUGUGUGAAAUGAGUUGUCUAAACUGGGUGUGUGUUUUGCUAUGGGACGAGGUGGUAUAAUUGAGAAACUAAAAGUGGAUCAAUGCAAAGUUUAUUUGAGGAAGCACAGCAGGCAAUAGAAAUACCCUUAUACAGCGGAUUAAGAAACAUCUCGAGUAAUUUUCUUCCUCUCUUAUAUUUGAACCUCGAAUUUAUUGGUUUGGUAUUUAUUUAUCUCCUUAUAAUAAUUAAUGCUUGUGUUAUUUUCAGUGUUGUUGAUGAUGGUGUGGAGAAAAAGUAAUCGGCCUCUCUUUUUGUUUUAAUUGCAGAGGUAGAACAUUUUAGCAUUUGUGCUUGGUGAUAUCCUUUCUUAUUUCAUUCCUUUGACUUCCAUAUUUGAAGUUUCAAUCAAUGUUCUAAUACUCAAUAUCCAUAUCCGGGUAGCAAGAAUCGAAAACCAGAACAAACGCAAGAAGUCAUCAGAUUCUAUACCAAUGAACCCAGAGAAACAAGAAAACCAACCUCAGAAGCAGCAGCAGGAGAGAGAAUGCUGCCCAUGAAGAGCAGUAGCAUUCCGCAGCAGCUAGAAAGUAUGCUUGGAAAACCGAAUAAUCUUUGGUGUUGGUCAUUUUAGAGAUAUAGAACAGUGAAUGCAGUGAUGAGACAACAAUGGAUGUGUUGAUCCUUCACGAUUUUUGUAGUGAGUUUCUUUGUUUUAUAGAAAUAAAGUUUCUUUACUGUUUUUAAUUA
rnacentral:lncRNA from 1 species